rnacentral:rRNA from 1 species
UACGUAGGGUGCAAGCGUUGUCCGGAAUUAUUGGGCGUAAAGAGCUUGUAGGCGGUUUGUCGCGUCUGCUGUGAAAUUUCGGGGCUCAACCCCGAACUUGCAGUGGGUACGGGCAGACUAGAGUGUGGUAGGGGAGACUGGAAUUCCUGGUGUAGCGGUGAAAUGCGCAGAUAUCAGGAGGAACACCAGUGGCGAAGGCGGAACUCUGGGCCGGAACUGACGCUGAGACGCGAAAGCGUGGGGAGCAAACAGG